AACAAGGCGUACCUGCGGACCUGCGGAGGGAUCAUUACACAAUACAAUAUGAAGGCUGUCCGCAGCUGGAGUAUUUUAUUACCCUUGUCUUUUGCGCACUUGUUGUUUCCUGGGCGGGUUCGCUCGCCACCAGGACCACCAAAUAAACCUUUUUUAUGCAGUUGCAAUCAGCGUCAGUGCAAACAAUGUAAAUCAUUUACAACUUUUAACAACGGAUCU
rnacentral:misc_RNA from 1 species